rnacentral:lncRNA from 1 species
CAUUUAACCACAUAUGCACUAUGAUUUUCCUCAUCAGGCUCUGCACUGGGCUCCAGAUGUAUGUACCAAGAAGGCAGACAUAGUCUUUUCAUGAAACCCCAGUUCAAAGUGCAGUGGGAGCAUCAGAUGAUUCAACAAGGAAUUGCAAUAAAGUGGAUUGAGUGUUGACAGAGGAAAACAUUUUUCAAAUAUAUGCAUGUUCUACAAGAGGAAUCUUUUGGAGGAGGCCUCUUUAAAACAGUUUGAUGGCAUCAGAUCUCUGAAUACUCUGCCUUGUGCCUCAGGCACAAGAAGCUGUAAGAACAACAACAAGGACAACAACAGCAGGACCAAGAACAACAGCAACAACAAACACCAAAAACAACCAAAGGAUCAAAGCCUCAGUUCAAGGAGCCCAAAUUAAAUGCAAG